rnacentral:rRNA from 1 species
AGAGUUUGAUCCUGGCUCAGGAUGAACGCUGGCGGCGUGCUUAACACAUGCAAGUCGAACGCACCUUCGGGUGAGUGGCGGACGGGUGAGUAACGCGUGGGAAUCUGCCCUCAGGAGGGGGAUAACGGCUGGAAACGGCCGCUAAUACCCCAUAUGCCGAGAGGUGAAAUGAAUUUCGCCUGAGGAUGAGCCCGCGUCUGAUUAGCUAGUUGGUGGGGUAAUGGCCCACCAAGGCGACGAUCAGUAGCUGGUCUGAGAGGAUGAUCAGCCACACUGGGACUGAGACACGGCCCAGACUCCUACGGGAGGCAGCAGUGGGGAAUUUUCCGCAAUGGGCGAAAGCCUGACGGAGCAACGCCGCGUGAGGGAUGAAGGCCUCUGGGCUGUAAACCUCUUUUCUCAAGGAAGAAGACAUGACGGUACUUGAGGAAUAAGCCACGGCUAAUUCCGUGCCAGCAGCCGCGGUAAUACGGGAGUGGCAAGCGUUAUCCGGAAUUAUUGGGCGUAAAGCGUCCGCAGGCGGCCUUGUAAGUCUGUCGUUAAAGCGUGGAGCUUAACUCCAUUUAAGCGAUGGAAACUACAAGGCUUGAGUGUGGUAGGGGCAGAGGGAAUUCCCGGUGUAGCGGUGAAAUGCGUAGAUAUCGGGAAGAACACCAGUGGCGAAGGCGCUCUGCUGGGCCAUAACUGACGCUCAUGGACGAAAGCCAGGGGAGCGAAAGGGAUUAGAUACCCCUGUAGUCCUGGCCGUAAACGAUGAACACUAGGUGUCGGGGGAAUCGACCCCCUCGGUGUCGUAGCUAACGCGUUAAGUGUUCCGCCUGGGGAGUACGCACGCAAGUGUGAAACUCAAAGGAAUUGACGGGGGCCCGCACAAGCGGUGGAGUAUGUGGUUUAAUUCGAUGCAACGCGAAGAACCUUACCAGGGUUUGACAUCCUGCGAAUCCCUUGGAAACUUGGGAGUGCCUUCGGGAGCGCAGAGACAGGUGGUGCAUGGCUGUCGUCAGCUCGUGUCGUGAGAUGUUGGGUUAAGUCCCGCAACGAGCGCAACCCACGUCUUUAGUUGCCAGCAUUCAGUUGGGCACUCUAGAGAGACCGCCGGUGAUAAACCGGAGGAAGGUGUGGAUGACGUCAAGUCAUCAUGCCCCUUACAUCCUGGGCUACACACGUACUACAAUGCUACGGACAAAGGGCAGCAAGCUCGCGAGAGUUAGCAAAUCCCAUAAACCGUGGCUCAGUUCAGAUCGUAGGCUGCAACUCGCCUACGUGAAGGAGGAAUCGCUAGUAAUCGCAGGUCAGCAUACUGCGGUGAAUACGUUCCCGGGCCUUGUACACACCGCCCGUCACACCAUGGAAGUUGGCCAUGCCCGAAGUCGUUACUCCAACCCUUGUGGAGGAGGUCGCCGAAGGUGGGGCUGAUGACUGGGGUGAAGUCGGAACAAGGUA